rnacentral:rRNA from 1 species
UGGGGAAUAUUGCACAAUGGGCGCAAGCCUGAUGCAGCCAUGCCGCGUGUAUGAAGAAGGCCUUCGGGUUGUAAAGUACUUUCAGCGGGGAGGAAGGGAGUAAAGUUAAUACCUUUGCUCAUUGACGUUACCCGCAGAAGAAGCACCGGCUAACUCCGUGCCAGCAGCCGCGGUAAUACGGAGGGUGCAAGCGUUAAUCGGAAUUACUGGGCGUAAAGCGCACGCAGGCGGUCUGUCAAGUCGGAUGUGAAAUCCCCGGGCUUAACCUGGGAACUGCAUUCGAAACUGGCAGGCUAGAGUCUUGUAGAGGGGGGUAGAAUUCCAGGUGUAGCGGUGAAAUGCGUAGAGAUCUGGAGGAAUACCGGUGGCGAAUGCGGCCCCCUGGACAAAGACUGACGCUCAGGUGCGAAAGCGUGGGGAGCAAACAGG